GAUUCAGUGAGGAAUAGUGGUUUGAGCAUUGGACUACAACUCUGGAGACCAGGGUUCAAAUCCCUGCUCAGCCA